rnacentral:rRNA from 1 species
UAAGACGGAGGGGGCGAGCGUUGUUCGGAAUUAUUGGGCGUAAAGCGCGCGUAGGCGGUCGGGUCAGUCGGACGUGAAAGCCCAGGGCUCAACCCUGGAAGUGCGUUCGAUACUGCACGACUUGAGUACGGGAGAGGAGAGUGGAAUUCCCAGUGUAGCGGUGAAAUGCGUAGAUAUUGGGAGGAACACCAGUGGCGAAGGCGGCUCUCUGGACCGUUACUGACGCUGAGGCGCGAAAGCUAGGGGAGCAAACGGGAUUAGAUACCCCGGUAGUCCUAGCCGUAAACGAUGGGCACUAGGUGUUGGGGGUAUUGACCCCUCCAGUGCCGGAGCUAACGCAUUAAGUGCCCCGCCUGGGGAGUACGGUCGCAAGGCUG